AUGUUAUCGAUAUGUGAAUACAUAGCAUAUCAGAAGGCACACCCGGAGAACUGAAACAUCUUAGUACCCGGAGGAAGAGAAAGAAAAUUCGAUUCCCUUAGUAGCGGCGAGCGAAACGGGAAGAGCCCAAACCAACAAGCUUGCUUGUUGGGGUUGUAGGACACUCUAUACGGAGUUACAAAGGACGACAUUAGACGAAUCAUCUGGAAAGAUGAAUCAAAGAAGGUAAUAAUCCUGUAGUCGA
rnacentral:rRNA from 1 species